CUUCAGAAGCUGUAAUUGUACUUGUAUAAAAGUAUUAUGUAAAUAAUAAACAAUUGCAGCUUCUUAGCAAGGUCAAGCCCCUGGGUCACAUAGAAACUAAUGCUGCUCCACAUUAACUGCCAAGUUCUUUUAUUUUUGUUUUUCCCAUUGUAAUUUGCAACAUAUUUGUGGCUGUAUAAUUAAACAGUGAGCUGGAAGGAAGUGAUUGAACUGGAAUUUCAAAAUUCAGCAUGGAAAGAAGCACUGAAGGAGGUCAAGCUGUACAGUGCUUUCCUGGUGUUCUUUCUGGAUGACGAAAAGGGUUGGCUUCCUUCCAAAGAGAGGAACUUCAGCAUCACCAUCAGAAAAGGCAAAUGGUCUAAAAACAAGCCAGUUUGUGUUGCUGAUGACUCAAAGUAUAUUAUACUAGAGCUGCCAGCCAAAGCCUGCAAGUGGUUUUGUUCCCGAACCCUUCAUCUUUCACUACAGAUGAGCCCAAUAACUGCUGAUAAGAAGAAUUGGACAGCAGUUUCGCAGCAGGAUUGCGCCAGAGUCCCUGGAGCUGCUGAGUGCCAGGAGUCUCUACCACAGAAACUGUUGUUUGGCUGGGAUAAAAAGCGAUACACACGCAUUCCACCCACCGUUCUUGCAGCACUAAAACAUAGAAGAUCAACCAAAAAUAAAGAUCAUUAACGCAUUUUACUGUGAACCCACCUAAAGUGCAGGAGAAAGACACUGAAAGAAGAAGGACCAGCAGGAGAAAUAUCAUGUCAGUUAUCUAAAUGUUGUGCUACUUAUUUGUACAAGGUUUCAUGGCAAUAUUCUGUUUGUUUCUGCAAGAUGCAUGUGUAUAUCUCUUUAUUUACAUGUGCACAUCCUCCUAUCAGUAAAAUGUUUUCAUUAUUUCUACUGUUGAGCUACCAUUAUGGCAUGAAAGCACUUAAGGAUUAGGAAUAUUUUAAGUUUAAUAUGCAGUUUGUAGACAUGCUUCAGCCGUUUACAGAUGCUUUUUUUUACAUGUUCUCAGUAACAUUGGACUUGCCAGUAUCGAUGUAUCUAAAAAUACAUAACAGAAAAUAGUUAUUAGUUGGAAUCAAGUAUGAAAAAUGAGAAAGGUCAUUAGGAU